UACGGGGGGGGCAAGCGUUGUUCGGAAUUACUGGGCGUAAAGGGUGCGUAGGCGGUUCGCUAAGUUGGAUGUGAAAACUCUGGGCUCAACCCAGAGCCUGCAUCCAAUACGGACGAGCUAGAGUUCUGGAGGGGGUAGCGGAAUUCCUGGUGUAGCGGUGAAAUGCGUAGAUAUCAGGAGGAACACCGGUGGCGAAGGCAGCCAUCUGGACCGACACUGACGCUGAGGCGCGAAAGCGUGGGGAGCAAACAGG
rnacentral:rRNA from 1 species